CGGCGUGCUUAACACAUGCAAGUCGAGCGAAGCACUUUGCUUUGAUUUCUUCGGGAUGAAGAGCUUAGUGACUGAGCGGCGGACGGGUGAGUAACGCGUGGGUAACCUGCCUCAUACAGGGGGAUAACAGUUAGAAAUGACUGCUAAUACCGCAUAAGGCCACAGCACCGCAUGGUGCAGGGGUAAAAACUCCGGUGGUAUGAGAUGGACCCGCGUCUGAUUAGGUAGUUGGCGGGGUAACGGCCCACCAAGCCGACGAUCAGUAGCCGACCUGAGAGGGUGACCGGCCACAUUGGGACUGAGGCACGGCCCAAACUCCUACGGGAGGCAGCAGUGGGGAAUAUUGCACAAUGGGGGAAACCCUGAUGCAGCGACGCCGCGUGAGCGAAGAAGUAUUUCGGUAUGUAAAGCUCUAUCAGCAGGGAAGAAGAAUGACGGUACCUGACUAAGAAGCACCGGCUAAAUACGUGCCAGCAGCCGCGGUAAUACGUAUGGUGCAAGCGUUAUCCGGAUUUACUGGGUGUAAAGGGAGCGUAGACGGCGCAGCAAGUCUGAUGUGAAAGGCAGGGGCUUAACCCCUGGACUGCAUUGGAAACUGCUGUGCUUGAGUGCCGGAGGGGUAAGCGGAAUUCCUAGUGUAGCGGUGAAAUGCGUAGAUAUUAGGAGGAACACCAGUGGCGAAGGCGG
rnacentral:rRNA from 1 species